ensembl:lncRNA
GUGCUGAUCUUCCAUUCCAUAUGCAUUAUGAGCGGAUGAGCCACCAAGUUGAUGUUAACACGGACAACCAAGUCCCUGAGGUCCAAGUCCAAGUCAAGCCUCAAGUCCCUGAGGUCCAAGUCAAGCCUCAAGUCCCUGAGGUCCAAGUCAAGUCUCAAGCUUCUGAAGUCCAAGUCAAGUCUCAAGCUUCUGAAGUCCAAGUCAAGUCUCAAGCUUCUGAAGUCCAAGUCAAGGCUCCAGUCUCGGAAGUCCAAGUCAAGUCUCAAGUUCCUGAUGUCACGCCCAAGUCUACCGACCCGGGCGCCCAAGUUCAGCCCACGCCCA